GUACACUCAGGGUGUGACCCAUAAAAG
rnacentral:sRNA from 1 species